UACGGAGGGAGCUAGCGUUGUUCGGAAUUACUGGGCGUAAAGCGCACGUAGGCGGCUUUUUAAGUCAGGGGUGAAAUCCCCGGGCUCAACCCCGGAACUGCCCUUGAAACUGGAGAGCUAGAAUCUUGGAGAGGCGAGUGGAAUUCCGAGUGUAGAGGUGAAAUUCGUAGAUAUUCGGAAGAACACCAGUGGCGAAGGCGACUCGCUGGACAAGUAUUGACGCUGAGGUGCGAAAGCGUGGGGAGCAAACAGG
rnacentral:rRNA from 1 species